rnacentral:rRNA from 1 species
ACGAACGCUGGCGGCGUGCUUCACACCUGCAAGUCGAACGGAAAGGCCCCUUUGGGGGUACUCGAGUGGCGACCGGGUGAGUAACACGUGAGUAACCUGCCCUUGACUUCGGGAUAACUUCAGGAAACUGGGGCUAAUACCGGAUAGGAAUCCUUGCUGCAUGGUGGGGGUUGGAAAGCUUCGGCGGUUUUGGAUGGACUCGCGGCUUAUCAGCUUGUUGGUGGGGUAGUGGCUUACCAAGGCUUUGACGGGUAGCCGGCCUGAGAGGGCGACCGGCCACAUUGGGACUGAGAUACGGCCCAGACUCCUACGGGAGGCAGCAGUGGGGAAUAUUGCACAAUGGGCGGAAGCCUGAUGCAGCAACGCCGCGUGCGGGAUGACGGCCUUCGGGUUGUAAACCGCUUUCAGCAGGGGCGAAGCUUGUGGUGACGGUACCUGCAGAAGAAGCACCGGCUAACUACGUG